AAUCUGCUUUGAAAGACCGUGCCGGACGUUUGCCUAUGUGCCAGUCAUUUACACUAGAUAAAGUAUUUCUGCAGUCCGCCCAGUUGGAAUAGCUCUAAUUCUGCUUUCAUCUGGAGGAAGCCCCCUGCAGUGUAAAUUAAGAAUGCAGAAUUGGGUUGGUACAUUGUAAACUCUCCUGGCAGAGAAGCCUAAUCUUUAUCUGUUCUGUAAUGCAUCAUGCACACUUCUGGUGCAUGGGACAGAGCCUCAGCUGAAGUCAAUGGGGGUAGCUCUGUUCAGUGCUUAAUUUUUAAUGAAAGAGGUGCCGGGGAUCAGGCAAUGAGGUUUUUCUACUUCCAUAACUGAUGCCGCAAGCCCAGCAGGUGCCAGGGCUAUGAACUGCCAAGCCUAGAGGUGCCGGGACUCAGCCAUGGCACAGCACGGGCCCUGGUACAUCACUGAAGCGAUGGUAGUUUAUGCCAGUGGAGAAAUAGCCUCAAUAUUUUUAAACAUUGCCUUGGCCUGUCUGUCUUCUGGGGUAAGGCUCAAUCUUACAGCCUUGAGGCAAAACUGCCAUUUACAUAAACAGAAGUUUUGCUUCAGUAAAAACAGAAGGAUCAAGCCCAUGAUGUGCUCAGGCAUUGUUUGGGCAUUUGCCAGAAGCAUUCGCUUCCUCUUCAAAGUACUUGGUAUGACUCUGGUACAAUGCGCUGAACAAUCUUUGAACAACCGGCAGGAACAGGCAGCAAUCAGUAAUGAGUGGAAGGUUCUUUAAAACGAUCAGGUGCUUAGUGUUGAAAAAUUCAUUCCACGCUACUUCCAACUCUCUGUCUGCAGGGCUUCGGAGGGCAGAACCGUGGAAGUACCUUACAGAGGUGACGUGGAAACCACCAUCCUUGAUAUCCUUGGGGGCCUGCGAUCCACCUGCACCUACGUGGGAGCUGCCAAACUCAAAGAGCUGAGCAGGAGGGCGACAUUUAUCCGGGUCACCCAGCAGCACAGCCAGGUGUUUUCUUAACCAAGGACUAGGACCUGUGAAAUGUGUCUGCCGCUUCUCCCCACUUCCUCUGUGUUUUGUGUUAGAGCUUCAUGGGGGCAAACCCCGCAGGCUGUGGAAGUAGGUGGGUCAGUUGCCAUUGGUGAUGGGGUUAAGCGGAAAGACAUGCCAUCAAAUACAGUGCCAUGUAGGAUUCUUUUUGUUCACGAUGCAAUACCCUCAUCUUUUAAAGUCAUGUCUGUUUUAAAUCUAAUUUUUUCACCAUUCAUUCAUAGUGAGUUUGCCUUCCAGACCCUGAUCGCUGUUACCAAGUUUUAAAACAUCCUCACAACCGCUUGCUAGCACUGCUCCAGCAGUACGGGCUAUAGGAGCUCCCGGCUGGGAGGGGAUGUUGAUGUUCAGUAUGUUGAUCUGUUUAACCAAAGAUCAAAGCCAUACUUUUUGACCUUUCAGAUGGCUGGAUGAGCCAAGGUUGCUGCUGAAUUUUCACUGUGAUGUUAAAAAUGCUGGAGCUGUAUCAAUGGCAUUUCAGCAGUUUCCACUGGAAGGGAAACAAGCAACAGAAGGCAACCCGCUGUAGAGCAGUUCAGUUGGUGGAGACUCACCCUGUGUGGUUCAACUGGGUGUUUCUUCAGAGGACACCUUCCAUCAGAUGGCUCCUUUCACAAUGCUCCUGGUACAAAUACAUAGGUGUACAGCACGCACGCGUUUGAAAGUGGAACAAAAAGAUUGGCCUGAGGCUAACUCAGGACCCAGUCUGGUGAGGUGACAGGUGCCCUCAGUGUCCGUAAGGACCCAGCUCCUCCUCCUGUUCCAGUUAGAGGCAAAACUCUUGUUGAAGUCAUUGAAGUUGAGGGUGUGCUACACCUGGCAGGAUUAGGCCCCGAAGCAAUUAACUUGAGCUACCUCAUCUGAUCAUUUCACAAGGUUCUCCAGUUCUUAGUAAGAAGAACAGGAGUACUUGUGGCACCUUAGAGACUAAUUUGUUAGUCUCCAAGGUGCCACAAGUACUCCUUUUUGCGGAUACAUACACGGCUGCUACUCUGAAACCAGUUCUUAGUGUCCUUCCCAGAGGCUUAGCACUGUGCUGCACUUCAUGAACUGCUACCCGGUCAGCUGCCCAGAGUCCCCCCCAGCUGUACUGCAAGUGUCUUAAGCAGCGGCUACCCAUGACACUGGGCCAAAUUCUGACUUGCUUUCCACACCCUUGCAACACUGUGACAUCAGUGCAUAAGAGGAAAGUUAGAAUUUGGCCCACUGACUCCAUCAAGAUGUAGCUAACGUGCCACAUUGCUUUAAAAAAAUGAAGUUAGUUUAAACAAAUCUGAUUAAGUUUUGGGUACGAUAAUACACAUUUAAAGCCAAAGCCUGCACAAGGCAUAGGAACCUCUGUGUCUCCCAGUCCACUGUGUGACAGCAGGGGAGGCCCGAGGAGCACUACUGUAGGAGUGGUGCCUACACCACAGCACCAAGAGAUUGUGGUCUUACAGGUAGUGCUGUGUGGUCAGUGGAUGUGCUGGGACCAAGGGUGAGGAUGGUCUGUGGUAAGAAGAGGUACACACUGUCCUCAGCCCACUACCUCAUCUUGCUCGGCAUCCUCGGGGGGCUCUGGAAAACAUCAUGUGACUGGCACACUUCUGUGCCUUCCCCUAUCGCUCUGAGUAGGUAAGUGUUAGAUUUUGCCCUUGCUGCUGUCAGGUGUUGUGUGCAGGGGUCAUUCCAGGAAGCACAAGUUAGGAGAGCUUUCAGGAAGUUUGCUGAGGAUGGUGAAAGGUGAGCGCUUUUGCAAGUCUUCCAAGACACAGUAUGACACCACCAGUGGAUACAGGAUUAUGUUUUAAUCCAUGGGCGUUUGUGGUCUGAAACUCCUGCUAGGCCUUAUUCUUUCAUGCAUCAGUUUCACAUUGGUAUAAACCCAUUGACUUAAAUGGAUUCUCUCCUAAUUUUCACCAGUGUAAAUGAGAGCUAAAUCAGGUUUCUCUCGCCAGACUCUGAUGGGUAUUUAGGCCAAAUCCUCUGCUGUUGGAGUCAAUGGGGAUUUUGCAGCUGACCUCAGAGACACUGCAGGAUAUGGCAAUCGGUCUUACCCACUAAUAAUAAGGGUUCCCCCCUUCCCCUCCAUCUGCCUUAGACUUGGUUCUUUUUUAUUCAUUCAGACAUUUAGGCCUGUCCUCUGGAUAUGACUUCACAGCAUCAGCGAUUACACCGCUGACAUGGAUGACAUUUCCAAACAUGUAAUAAAGAGCCCAAAGUUCCUAUGUGACAAAGUUAGUGAUAAUUUUGAAGACCAUAAAUGAAGUCUUUAAAAAAGAGUGAGUGUUAACCAUUUCCAUAACACUGCAUGCACCACAGCUGAGAUGAUUAAGAAUGAGUAUCUUCUUUCCUCAUUUGUAGCCAAAAAACAGUGCACAGAAUGCGUCUGCCAUGAUGAACAUGCUCAUAUAAAGUGAUCAUAUUGUGCACCCUGGCUGUUCUGUUAUGAAAUAAACGGCUUUACUCUGGC